AGAGUUUGAUCAUGGCUCAGGACGAACGCUGGCGGCGUGCCUAACACAUGCAAGUCGAACGGGGUAGCAAUACCCAGUGGCGGACGGGUGCGUAACACGUGAGGAACAUGUCUUUCGGCGGGGAAUAGCCGGCCUAACGGCCGGGUAAUACCGCGUACGACGAUUGGGGCGCAUGCCCUGAUCGUGAAAGCAGCAAUGCGCCGAUAGAGUGCCUCGCGGCCUAUCAGCUAGUUGGUGAGGUAAUGGCUCACCAAGGCUACGACGGGUAGCUGGUCUGAGAGGAUGAUCAGCCACAUUGGGACUGAGACACGGCCCAGACUCCUACGGGAGGCAGCAGUGGGGAAUAUUGCGCAAUGGGCGAAAGCCUGACGCAGCGACGCCGCGUGUGGGAUGAAGGUCUUCGGAUUGUAAACCACUGUCGGGAGGGACGAAUGCGCCGCAAGGCGAGUGACGGUACCUCCAAAGAAG
rnacentral:rRNA from 1 species